GCAUUAGUGGUGUAAUGGUUAACAUGCGGUCUUCCCAUGGCCGCGUUCGGGGUUCGAUUCCCCGCUAAUGCA